CACCCAAACAAACACUCCAUUUUCUGCUAGUUUGGCCAAGAGAGAGAAGAGAGAAGAGAGGAAAACUUCUUCAAAUUUCAUCUUGAUUCCUAGCAAGAUUUUGUGGAAGAAUUAACCUAAAACCUUAAAGCAAUCCGUAGGAGGCUGCAACAAGGAAGGAAGGUAGCUGCUAUGGAGUGAUUUUGGGGAAAGAAAACCUGUAGUUUGCUAUUCACCUUAAGGUUUGAAGGUACUCUUGGGGUAAGAACAUGAGAGUGGGAAUUGGAGAAAACAUAGAUUUUAUCUAACUUUUAUUAGUUGCUCGCGUAGGCAUUCCUUAGCGCUCUAGUGGGCAUGUUUGGUUUUAUUUUGUAAGUUUUACUCCUCGGUUAUAUUUAGAGAUUGUAUGGGCAUUUGAUGUUCACGAUUAUAUAUGGCUAGGGUUGUAAUGGAUAUUACUCUUAUUGUUGAGAUUGUUACUUUGUAAA